CCUACGUGCGGCAGCAGUGAGGAAUAUUGGUCAAUGGGCUUACGCCUGAACCAGCCAAGUCGCGUGAGGGAAGACUGCCCUAUGGGCUGUAAACCUCUUUUGUCAGGGAGCAACGCCGGCUACGUGUAGCCGGACUGAGAGUACCUGAAGAAAAAGCAUCGGCUAACUCCGUGCCAGCAGCCGCGGUAAUACGGGGUAUGCGAGCGUUAUCCGGAUUAAUUGGGUUUCAAGGGUGGGUAGGCGGAAUGCCAAGUCAGCGGUAAAAUCGCGGGGCUCAACCUCGCUCCGCCGUUGAAACUGGCGUUCUGGAGUGGGCGAGAAGUAUGCGGAAUGCGUGGUGUAGCGGUGAAAUGCAUAGAUAUCACGCAGAACUCCGAUUGCGAAGGCAGCAUACCGGCGCCCAACUGACGCUGAAGCACGAAAGCGUGGGUAUCGAACAGGAUUAGAUACCCCAGUAGUC
rnacentral:rRNA from 1 species